UUCCUGCUUUGGUCCCCCUACAGAUUGGAAGUGGAAUUGUCCAUUACAUUACAUUAUGCAAGUUUGCCAGAUCGGGUAGCGGAUCUGUAGUUCGAAUGAACUGGACAAUGUAAAGUACUGGGACAAUUCCGUUUCCAACCUGUAGGGCUGUAUAUCUGUGUGUG